rnacentral:rRNA from 1 species
ACGAACGCUGGCGGCACGCUUAACACAUGCAAGUCGAACGAGAGAAGAGAAGCUUGCUUUUCUGAUCUAGUGGCGGACGGGUGAGUAACACGUGAGCAAUCUGCCUUUCAGAGGGGGAUACCGAUUGGAAACGAUCGUUAAUACCGCAUAAUAUAAUUGAACCGCAUGAUUUGAUUAUCAAAGAUUUAUCGCUGAAAGAUGAGCUCGCGUCUGAUUAGCUAGUUGGUAAGGUAACGGCUUACCAAGGCGACGAUCAGUAGCCGGACUGAGAGGUUGAUCGGCCACAUUGGGACUGAGACACGGCCCAGACUCCUACGGGAGGCAGCAGUGGGGAAUAUUGCACAAUGGAGGAAACUCUGAUGCAGCGAUGCCGCGUGAGGGAAGAAGGUUUUAGGAUUGUAAACCUCUGUCUUCAGGGACGAAAAAAGACGGUACCUGAGGAGGAAGCUCCGGCUAACUACGUGCCAGCAGCCGCGGUAAUACGUAGGGAGCGAGCGUUGUCCGGAAUUACUGGGUGUAAAGGGAGCGUAGGCGGGAUCGCAAGUCAGAUGUGAAAAUUAUGGGCUUAACCCAUAAACUGCAUUUGAAACUGUGGUUCUUGAGUGAAGUAGAGGUAAGCGGAAUUCCUAGUGUAGCGGUGAAAUGCGUAGAUAUUAGGAGGAACAUCAGUGGCGAAGGCGGCUUACUGGGCUUUAACUGACGCUGAGGCUCGAAAGCGUGGGGAGCAAACAGGAUUAGAUACCCUGGUAGUCCACACCGUAAACGAUGAUUACUAGGUGUUGGAGGAUUGACCCCUUCAGUGCCGCAGUUAACACAAUAAGUAAUCCACCUGGGGAGUACGACCGCAAGGUUGAAACUCAAAGGAAUUGACGGGGGCCCGCACAAGCAGUGGAGUAUGUGGAUUAAUUCGAAGCAACGCGAAGAACCUUACCAGGUCUUGACAUCGUAUGCAUAGCUCAGAGAUGAGUGAAAUCUCUUCGGAGACAUAUAGACAGGUGGUGCAUGGUUGUCGUCAGCUCGUGUCGUGAGAUGUUGGGUUAAGUCCCGCAACGAGCGCAACCCUUACUGUUAGUUGCUACGCAAGAGCACUCUAGCAGGACUGCCGUUGACAAAACGGAGGAAGGUGGGGAUGACGUCAAAUCAUCAUGCCCCUUAUGACCUGGGCCUCACACGUACUACAAUGGCUGUAAACAGAGGGAUGCAAAGCCGCGAGGUGGAGCGAACCCCUAAAAGCAGUCUUAGUUCGGAUUGUAGGCUGCAACCCGCCUACAUGAAGUCGGAAUUGCUAGUAAUCGCAGAUCAGCAUGCUGCGGUGAAUACGUUCCCGGGCCUUGUACACACCGCCCGUCACGCCAUGGGAGUCGGUAACACCCGAAGCCUGUAGUCUAACCGCAAGGAGGACGCAGUCGAAGGUGGGAUUGAUGACUGGGGUG